rnacentral:lncRNA from 1 species
UUUUUUAGUCACCAACUAUGGAUCCCAAUAACUCCAAUCUCCAGCCACCAUGGCAACCCGAUGUUCAUACCAACUUGAAGCCCACACUUCCCUCUUCACUAUCCACCCAAUCACUGGCCUUAACUCCUGUAGAAAUCGAGUGAAAAUCCCCCAAAAAUAGCCUACCAACUCACUUAAAAAUGGCCGGAAUCUCCACUUCCGGCGACACCCAGACUAUGCCCAUCAUCCAGGUUGACCAAGUACCUAAUUCCACUCCUAAUGAUGUAUUUAUAACAUCAAACAAAGCUGAAAAUCCAAAUCCAUAGCAAAUUUUGUCUACAUCAAAACUGGACAGUUCAAACCCAAAUUCUGGUGCCGAUGCAAACCACAAUGGCGGACCACCUCCCCUACCACCGCCUUAUCAUGAGGAAGCUUUUGCACAUAUGGGUCAUAGCAAUUUGGACUCAAUAUGGACGAACAGGUUGGGACAGUUCAUUUUGAGAGAGCAUUUUAUUUAUAUUUGUUCAAGGUGAUUUUUUUGUCCUUGGUGGAUGAUAAUUUCAAGACAAUAUACAAUAAAAAUUCAUCUGGAGUUUAGCUCCCCC